CUGCAGCCCGAGUGGUGAUCGAUUUUAUUGAGCCUAAAGCGUCCGUAGCCGGACUAGUAAACCCUUGGGUAAGUUGGGCAGCUUAACUGUCCAAAUUCCGAGGGGACUGCUAGUCUUGGGACCGGGAGAGGUCAGAGGUACUCAAGGGGUAGGGGCUAAAUCCUGUAAUCCUUUGGGGACCACCAGUGGCGAAGGCGUCUGACCAGAACGGAUCCGACGGUAAGGGACGAAACCCUGGGGCGCGAACCGGAUUAGAUACCCGAGUAGUCC
rnacentral:rRNA from 1 species